CAGCAGCCGCGGGAAUACGUAGGGGGCAAGCGUUGUCCGGAAUUAUUGGGCGUAAAGCGCGCGCAGGCGGUCAUGUAAGUCUGGUGUUUAAUCCCGGGGCUCAACCCCGGAUCGCACUGGAAACUGGGUGACUUGAGUGCAGAAGAGGAGAGUGGAAUUCCACGUGUAGCGGUGAAAUGCGUAGAGAUGUGGAGGAACACCAGUGGCGAAGGCGACUCUCUGGGCUGUAACUGACGCUGAGGCGCGAAAGCGUGGGGAGCAAACAGGAUUAGAUACCCCAGUAGUCCCUGUCUCUUAUACA
rnacentral:rRNA from 1 species